GAAAAUCCGUUGGCUUUAUUGACCGNGAGGGUUCAAGUCCCNCUACCCCCA
rnacentral:tRNA from 1 species